rnacentral:miRNA from 8 species
CAUCAGCACCCUAUGUUCUUUCU